rnacentral:misc_RNA from 1 species
CUGUAUAUCCAUACCACCUUGCUGUCUAUUUACUCAAAAUCUUCAUAACUUGUUUAAAGCACAUUUAAAGUGGGUAUAAACAUCUACCGAGCAUGCGCAAAAUUAAUUAAGCUCAACUGGAGUCUUAAGAUCGAGAAUCCCGCACCGCAGCAUAUACACAGCACAGGGGAGAUGAUAGUGCGGUUGUACAGAGUUGAAGAUGUUGGCAGUGUAAAAUUUAUAAUCUAAAAGUGUUUAUCUUUCUCGUUUUACAGUAACCUUACAUUUUCUCGUCAAGGUCGUUCAAUAAACUCUUAAAACUUGAAGGCAUCAUAUGUGAUUUAAGUGUAGUUCGCUUAUUUUCGUUACUACGAGUUAGUAAAUAUGUGUAUUCGUUCAUAUUAGUGACAUUUGUUGAUAUUAUUUGAAAAUCUUCGACCAUACUUAGUUUUGAGCCAAAUGAAAGUUGGCAGGUUGAGGUUGGUUUGCUCCACUCCCCUGACUGAGUGUAAACAACAUUGCAAUGUUGCUGAUAGAAAAUAUUACAUGUACUGCCAUAUUUAGAUGACCCGCCACUUACAAUGGUCAGAAGACGUGAUAAAUUUGUGUUUUAUGUCAAACAAUAAAAUGCAAGAAUGGUAUCUUAUGAAAUCACAUUUCUACUUUAUUUAUGUGUGUGGAUUUUGGUAUUACAUUCAUCCACCGCCCUAUCAGACCAACAUGACUUCAAAUACAUUUCCUAUAGAGAUCUCCAAUCAUCUGUUACAACUUUUCAAGCAGAAGAUAACUCCUCAUUUUCACAAAUGUUGUUCGACGUAUCCAGAAAUCAAAUGUUUUUAGGAGCAAGGGAUGGGUUUUUCAGAUUGUCGUUAUCACAACUAAGUCUUUUGGAGUACGUAAAUUGGGAAUCGUCUGAGCAAAAGCGGCAUUCUUGUAUAGAGAAGGGACAGAGUGAUGAAAACUGUCACAAUUUUAUAAACAUAAUUCUGAGCAACGAUAGAGAAUUACUAAUUUGUGGCACUAAUUCAUUUUCACCCCAGUGUUCGUGGAGAGAGAUCGACAACAUAACUAGUGUUAUCAAAAUAGUGGAUGGUGUAGCCCAGAGUCCAUUUAACCCCAAUGCAAAUAUUACAGCCCUUUUAUCAGAAAAUGGAUACUACUACUUCGGAGGACCAGCAGACGCUUUCGGAUCUCAGUCCCUCAUAUCAAAAAGUUCCGAAAACAACGUGGUACUGAGAACUAAACCUUACAAUAAUUUCUGGCUCAAUGAGCCGCAGUUUGUGGGUUCUUUUGAGAGUGAUCGGUUUGUUUAUUUUUUAUUUAGAGAAUCAGCAGUGGAAUAUAUGAACUGUGGGAAAGUUAUCUAUUCGAGAAUAGCGAGGAUAUGUAAAAACGAUAAUGGCGGUGGGCAAAUGUUCAAAGAUAACUGGACUACGUACAUCAAAGCUAGAUUAAACUGCUCUAUAAGUGGUGAUUACCCUUUUUAUUUCCAUGAAAUCCAGGGUAUGUUUUAUGUCCCCAGUGAGAAUGUCGUAUAUGCUAGUUUUAGUACCUCUUCGAAUAGUAUAGCAGGAUCAGCAGUGUGUGCAUUCAAUAUCACCUCUAUAAACAAAGCAUUUGAGGGACCUUUUAAAUAUCAGCAGGAUAUAGACAGUGGCUGGAACAAACACAUGAAUCUGUAUAGGAAUCAUUUCAAUUGUGAGUCGUCUCAGAAAAAUAUCAAUUUAUUAGAUAUAUCUAAAUAUCAACUGAUGGAUUCAGCUGUUCAGGCUACAACAUUUGAUCCUUUAUAUUCAACAACAGGAGAACGUUUUACCCAUAUCACAGUAGAUGUAGUGGACACAAAACUGGUCACUGUACAUGUUAUUUAUUUAGUAACACAACAAGGUUAUAUUAAGAAGCUCAGUUUACUACCACGUCAUAAAACAGCAUGUGUGGUUGAAAUUUGGCAAGCAGUUCCAGAUGCAAACAUUCCUAUAACUAGUAUGCAAUUCCUAAAAAAGACCAAUUCAGUGUAUAUAACAAGUCCUUUAGGUUUAUCACAAAUUUCUGUGGGUCAUUGUAGACGACACUCUUCUUUGGAAGGUUGUAAAAACGCCAUGGACCCUUAUUGUGGAUGGAAUGAAAUGGAAGAGACUUGUGCCUUAGUUCCUGAAGAUAGUUUUCGUAGCCAGUUUGGAAAACCGGAGAUAACCUCUUGUCCAGUUUUGAAUACUCCCGUAAAUGGGGGUUGGAGUGCUUGGUCCAAUUGGGCUCCCUGUUUUCAUAAAAGUUUAUCAGAUUAUAAUUCCUCUGAUCAUUGCUUGUGUCAAACUCGUCAGUGCAAUAAUCCUGUUCCUGUAAAUAAGGGAAAACCCUGUGUAGGUCCAUCAAUAUCCGUAACAAAUUGUACUGUUCAUGGAGGAUGGUCUGAUUGGUCAGCAUGGUCAGCGUGUUCUGCAACUUGUGGUACUGCAGUUAAAAGCAGGACCCGAACAUGUACUAAUCCUGCGCCAGCUUUCGGGGGAAGAGUGUGUGUGGGGCAGGAUAGAAGUGAAGCACUUUGUACAGAAUAUGCACCAUGUCCUUCUCAACCAGUUGAUGGUGGUUGGGGUCCUUGGUCUCCAUGGACUUCUUGCACAGCUUCUUGCGCUGGAGGUUACCAGUUGAGACAACGAAAAUGUGAUAAUCCCAUUCCUCACAACGGAGGACAGCACUGUAAAGGAAAUGAUAUCGAAUAUGAAAGAUGUAAUGACGUUUCUUGUAAUGAAAUCAAAAAGUUCUACUCCACGGAUUGGAUUAAUACUAAUGGCACAUCUUAUCACAAAAAACGGUAUAAAAUUAUUUGUAAAGCACCAGUUAAAUCACCAGGUCAGAUAAAAAUAUCAGUUAAAGAAGAAGAUAAAUAUUGCUCAAAUUCACAAUGUACCAAUGACGAUUACGAAAGUAGCUGGAACCAGUGGACCAAUUGGUCAGAUUGUUCAGUGAGUUGUGGGGGAGGUACACAGAAACGUGUUAGAACAUGCAAGAAAACGAGAAAUUGCGUAGGCGAAUCAACGCAAACGAAAGAGUGCAAUACUCACAGCUGUGAAGAUUCGUGGGGUUGUUGGUCCGAAUGGUCUCCCUGCAACGUUUCUUGUGGAUGGGGAGUUAAGAUCCGCACCAGAUCUUGCUUAGGAAAAACUUGCAAUGAUGUAGUGAGGGAAGAACAGCCGUGCGAAGAUCAACCAUGUGAAGCCAUUUUGGGAUGGGGAAAUUGGACGGAAUGGUCGCUCUGUGAUAGUAACAACGAACAACAUAGGAAAAGAAAAUGUUUUCACGAAAAUCCAGGCCCAUUGGAAUGCCAAGGAAAAGACUUUGAAACUAGAAUUUGUUUUGGAGAACUACCAAACGAGUGUGGAAAAUUCUACACCAACAACCAAAGGAAAAACAACUCUUGAUUGAAGUUAGUGGAGUAAUAUUUACUGAACCAUCGUUUAUUAAUUUUGAAAGAGCAACAAUUUUUAUAGUAUUAAAACUAUAAAGGAUUAUAGAAAUAGAAAGGCAAGUGCUAUGAGAAAAAUCUUGGAAGUAUAUGGAAAGAAAAUGCACUUUACUGGAACCAAAAUUCUGUAUAGUGAGGAGAGAAGUAAACUUGGAAAAAUUAAUAUAAAGAUAGAAAACAAUAUCAUCCAUUCAAAACACCUUGCUGGAACAGGAAUCUUGUUUCUCUGUAGGACUUUCGUUUUUCUUUGUAGGUGUCAUAGUAGGUCUCUUGCCAUAUCUUGCAUACCUCAUCUACAAUCACAUCUCCAAGAAAAAAAAU